UCUCUCUCGUUCCCCUCCCUCCUGCGCGCCUCCUCUCCUCCUGCCUCGUCGCCGCCUCCUCUCCCCUCCUGCGCCCGCCUCCCUGCCCUGCCGCCGGCGUCGCCACCGCCGCUCGCCCGGACACCCAUCCCCGGCCUCACGCCGCCCAUCUAGAGAGAUGGGGGCCGCGCGCGACGAGGCCGGCCUAGCCGUCGCCUCCUUCUCCCGCGACCGCGCCGCCCUCUCCUCCUUCCUCACGCAGCCGCCCUCUCCUUCUUCCUCCCGCCUCCCUGCCAUGCCGCCCCGCCGCCUCCUCCCUCGCUCGCUUCCUCUCCUCCCGCAAUCGCCUCCCUCCCUCCCUCGCUCUCGUGCAGCCGCCGCGGCGCUCCCACAUCUCCUCCCCUUCCUCUCCCAUCGCCAUGUUCGCAGAGGCGCUGUAGAUCCCCGCCGAGCAGGCCGCGCUGGCGCUUGGGGCGCUCGCCGCCGUGCUCCCCGGCGACGAUGACGCCCCCGCAGCGGACGGUGCAUCGGAGGCCGACCUCCACGGACGGCACGUGGGUGCCGCGGUGCUCGCGGAGGCGCUGCAGAUCCCCGCCGAGCAGGCCGCGCUGGUGCUCGGGGUGCUCGCCGCCGUGCUCCCCGGCGACGAUGACGAACCCGCAAUGGAAGGAGCUGGCGCCUCCCCGCCCCCAUCUAUCCACUCCGUCCAGCUCCUCCUGUACCCGCAGCAGAUAGAGAGAGGGAUGAUGUGAAGGAGAAGAGAGGAAGGAGAAGCCAUGCCCCGUCCACUGCGUCGUGCGCGACGACUGGCUGGGCUCUGUUUCAGCACCCCAAUCUUCCUACCUCUAUCCCCUUCUAAUUUCUCCAUCCCUUUCUUUCAGAUUUUUUUGUGUACAUGCAUACAAGGCGCUCGAUGAAAAUCCAAGCAGGUUGCAAGGGGAGGCAAAUUCCAUUUUAUGCUCAUGUGUAAUCAUUGAUUUUUUUUCCUCACAUUUAGCAUGCAGUCAACUUUUACUUAUAUGUACAAUAUAUUACCUCUUUCAGUUAUAUGACUUGCACACACACAAUAUAUUGCAUCUGUAGGUCAUGUGACUUGCCUACGGAAGAUAUGAGUGUCCUCGGAAAAUAUUAUUAUGCUGGAUCUACUAUGGUUGCCACAUUAUGCAAGUCAGCAUUUAGUGAUCUAAAAGUUUAGACCAUGGCAUUAUGUUCAAUGCUCAGCAAAUCCACCCUUCGUAGGUGUGAAGAUCCAUUGAUAAAGUUUAUUUGAGGAAACUGUACCGUUCCAUGGACCCAUCAUUUCGGCGAGCCGGUCCUAUUAUUGCACUGAAGAGGCCAUCUCUUAGCAUUGAACCACAAGUUCAUGUUCGCAAGCUGAAACCAAGAUAUAUGUGUCUGAUAUUUGCCUCAAAUGGUCUUUGGGAGCAUCUUAGCGAUCAGUACAGGAAGUUGUAGUAGCUGCCCCAUCCUUUUUAAUCUAAAUGAUGGUACUUCUAGGACACGGACAAUUGCCCUCAAGGUCAACACAUCAAUGCUCCCAAGCCCAUUCCCUUUUAAAAUUUUCUCAAUGUCACUUCUAUAGGUUUACUUGAGAUGUUAUGCUGCAUGUGUUGUGCUGAGGUUUUCCUACUUCCCUUUUAACUUCUCCUCUGAAUUUGAUCACAUGUUUAUGCAAUUGGACCAGAGCAACGACAUUACCUACAGCUUAUCAACACAAAGAAAGAGAGAGAGGGAGUCUCUCUCUCUCUCUCUCCCCCCUGACUCUUUGUGCUUGUGUUGACCCUUUGUCCAUGCGGUGGUCCUGUGGACUGCUCUUUCUGAUUUGGGGGGGAAAUAGGAGUUCAAGACGAGCUCAAUUGUGUUGUGUAGGUCAUAAACAGAUGCAUAAAGGUUAUUUUUUUUAAUAUAGAGCACAAAUAGAUAUUAUUUGAGGUGAUUUAUUCAUUUCUUAGUUCCAUCAUUAGCAUGUCCACAAAAGGAGCCAGUGUAGAAAACUAAGCGUGUUGAGGUUUAAUUGAUAUAAGAAUGUGUCGGAAUGGAAAUAUGAAAAUGUGUAUGUAUGAACAAGCUCAGAUCCAUUUCUCAUGUUUAUAUAUUUUUUAAUCAUGGGCUAAAGAUCAAAUGCUACCAUGCAGCACCAUAGUUGGGUAGUUUCGACAUCUUCAGAUACGAAUGUGUAUGCAGGCGAAUAUGACAUUUCCCGUGCGAGAUCAAAUGACUUGAGCAUUACAUUGGUUCAACUGUCCCUCUCAUCAAGUAUUAUGUUUGCGAGAUGAACAAGACUUUCAUGACUCCUGGACAGAGGAGAAUGCCAAGCUGGAUCGGUGGCGCGGCGGAGGAGCUGUCUUCUGAGUUGACCAGAGAGGGAGCACACCGGAGAUGCUUCUGAGAUGGCCAAGGGUUUACUGAUCGAUCCAUCCUGAUUGGGAUCUGUUCGUGGUUCUGGUUGACUGGCUGGUGCGUCGUGCCGUUGCUAGUGCUUGAGGUUGUCUCGCUGGUUUCCUUGCAGUAUCGUCGAUCUGUGCAUCCAGGCACCCCAAGCUUUUCCUCGCGCGAUGGCAUCAGGCGCACGGAGGGAGCUCUUCUCGGUCGAUGUGGUGAACAACGACCGUGAUCCCGUUCCACGGCGUCACCUGCUAGCAAGGACUGCUUGGCCUCUUAUUCUGAUUAGCCUAUCAUUAAAGUUGGAAACACCAGAAUUGACGCUUGCGCAUGAGUGCGUACAGGCCAAGACAAGCAUCGUAAGGAUCCAGUUAGAAUGAUGACUGAUAUCCUGUUAGAGCAUCUUGGGCUUCACAAGGCCAUCUGAGACUCGGGCUCAAUGAGAACAUGAUGAGGUACAUAGAGAACUCCAGAAACACUAUAGUGAAGGAUCUAAACUAUGACAGGCUGAGCAGAAUGCAGAAAGACUUUUGCUUAUCCGAGACUCGGGAUCGAUGAGGCAUUUGACAUGAUAAACAAGUGCCAAAGGUUACUUGUAUGAUCUGAGAUACAUGAGCUCCUUCUCAGACCAACUUCAUAAUGUGAUAGCACAUGGCUUUCCUCCUACCCGUGUCGUGGAUACAUUGACAAACGUGACCCUUAUGAAUAUUGAAGUGGUGGCACAUAACCUUGAGAGCAGAAGCAAUCAUCUGUUGAAGAGGCUGCAUGCCAUAAAAAGACACUCUUUAGGCGCAACAGCAUGAGGUGUUUGCACCAAUUGAUUUCUUCACACCAAGGCCAUGGCGUUGAUCAUCUAUGGACAUCACAGAUCACCUAUUCUAACUCUGGCAAGUACGAGAUGAUAUAUGAUGCCACCAGCUCCUGUGAUGUACCGUGUAAACUACUGUGUGAUCUCCCUCUCCUUUUGUGAACACGUCCCCUUUGGCACGUCUAUUCAUACUUUUGCACUCAAUAUUUAUGUGUAUGAACAUUGCAUCCUUUAAUUUACCUUGUAUAUGAACAUUACAUCCUUCAAAUAUGGUGUACUAUAUUUUGGUAUCCA